GAUGACCUUUGUUUGUUUAAACUGUUGGAAAAUCAAUAUUUAAAAUGAAAUCUAGAAACUGAAGUGUGCCCUCUGCAGGAUCACCAGAAUGAUGGGAAAACUGAACACAAUCAACUCAUGAACUCCCCAAGGCCCUAUACAUCAAAAGGUGAAGCUGGGUCAUGAAGGUCAUGAAGGCCCUCAGUGUGCAGCCUCUGUAAACCUGCUAAAACUAUUCUAUGAAAAUGAACAGGACUAUUCUUCCUCAAACAAAGAGAUCGUGUGAUGAAGACUCACCAGAGCUGUUCUCUAUAAGCUUGAAGAGCAAUGGUAUCAGGUGCUUUUUUUUCUGAAGCUUUGGUAGUGUAACUGUAAGAGUCCUGGAAUUGGAAAAGCAAAUCCAGAAGUUGAGUUCCAUGACUUUUUUGCUGUUUGCCUUUGGACUUGCAUCAUUUAUAUUUUUAAUUCAUCGAGGAUGAGAAAAUUGAUUAACACAAAAUCUUUUCAUGUCUUUUCUGAUGAGAGACUAGCUGAAUCCAAGAAGAGAAGCCCUUGAAGAGUGUAUUCUAUUCUAGACAAGCAUUCACACAUUGGCUUCUUUGGUGCCAGAUUAAAGAAUGAAGAAAGGAUCAAAUUGAGACAUCCAGGGGGGAAGAGUUCCCUGGCAAAACUCCAAUCUGCCUGAGCACUGAGGUGGAGCCACAGAAGUCCGGGUCAUUUGCACCUGGGAGGAGCCUGGCCCCUCCUCUUCCUGUGUGGAAUCUGGGAUUUAAUCUGUGAGGAGGGAAGGCCAAGGGCAGGAAGCACAGGCUCUCACUUCACUAAGAGUCUCUGUUUCCCCUUUUUUUCCUUUAUGCCUAAUUAAUAAAUCCCAUUUUUCUCACUCUUCAAAUAGUCUUCAAGCCUAAAUUUUCAUGACCAUGGAACAAGGACCCCAUCUUUAGCUGAACUAAGGAAAAGUCCUGCAACAAAAUUCUUUGCUAAAAAUACAUGAGGUUGCCUUUUCCUUCUUAAUCUUAAAAGAAAUAUAUUUCAAUGGUUAACGUUUUAGUAAUUCAAAAAUUAUCAAGCAUUUGUUCACAACCAUAAGAUGUGCAUUGUUUUAUAUUCCUACUUAAUAAUAGACUAUAAUUGUCUAAUUAGACUGCCGAUGUUGAUCUUUGUGGCUCAUUGCAUUGAUUAUAAGCAGUGUUUUGGGUUUGUGUGUGUGUGUCAAAUUUAGGGUUUUUUUGGUAUGGCUGCUGGUUGGUGUAGCCUGUAUCCAGUAUCCUGUAUUAAUUCUAAUAUUUGCAUUUUGAACAUAUUUACAAGUUGCUAAAAUAGCAAAGCUUCGAGAUGAGCCUGGCUGAUAUGGCAAAACCCCGUCUCUACUAAAAAUACAAAAAUUAGCCUGGUGUGGUGGUGCAUGCCUGUAAUCCCAGCUACUUGGAAGUCUGAGGCAGGAGAAUCUCUUGAACCCAGAAGGUGGAGGUUGCAGUGGGCCAAGAUCGCACCACUGCACUCCAGCCUCGGUGAUAGAGCGAGACUACGUCUCAAAAAUAAAAUAAAAUAAAAUAAAAUAAAAAUAGCAAAGCUAUGUAUGGUUUCUCUGAGUUUUGUAAUUUAUCAUUGUUAACUGCAGAAAUUUAUUAUAUGAGACAUAUUAUAUGAGACAUAUAAGUGAAUUUGGAUUGGGUUUAAUUUUAUAUUUUUGAAUAUAGUUCUUCAAGAUAAAUUUUAUCUUAGACCUCAAGAAAUAAAAAUAAAAUAAAUUAGAUAUACAAACGA
rnacentral:lncRNA from 1 species